rnacentral:rRNA from 1 species
GAAAUUCCUUGUCUGGUAAGUUCAGACGCGCACGAAUAGUGUAACGACUGGGGAACUGUCUCGGAGUACCGUUCGGUGAAAAUACAAUACCGGUGAAGAUGCCGGUUACCUGCAGAUAGACGAAAAGACCCCAGAAGCUUUACUGUAGCUUGAUAUUGCUCAUACGACACGACUGCGUAGCAUAGGCGGGAGAGGUUUGAUGGUUUCGGUUUCGGCUGAGAUCUACUCGUCAGUGAAAUACCGCUCUUUCUAGUUGUAUGUGCUAACCGGUUGGGCAAAACCCAGUCGAGACAGUAUCUGGUAGGCAGUUUUAGUGGGGCGCUAUCCUCCUAAAAAGUAACGGAGGAGUUCAUCAAGGUACCCUAGGCGCGAAUGGAAACCGUGCCGAUAGCGCAUUGGCAAAAGGGUGCUUGACUGCAAGUCGUGAAUGACGAGCAGGUACGAAAGUAGGACAAAGUGAACCGACCAUGGGUAUUAGACGCCGUGGAAGAUUAUCUGACAAAAGCUACUCUGGGGAUAACAGGCUAGUUCCGCCUAAGCGUCCAUAGCGACGGCGGAGUUCGGCACCUCGAUGUCGGCUCACCAUAUCCCGGGGGUGGAGAAGCUCCCAAGGGUUUGGCUGUUCGCCAAUUAAAAUGGUACGCGAGCUGGGUUCAGACCGUCGUGAGACAGGUUGGUCUCCUAUCUACUGCAGGCGUCGAUUCUUGAUAAGGUUUGCUCCUAGUACGAGAGGACCGGAGUGAACGGACCGCUGGUCUGCCAGCUCUCCUGCCAAGGGGACCGCUGGGUAGCUAUGUCCGGAAAGGAUAAGCGCUGAAAGCAUCUAAGCGCGAAGCCAGCUUAGAGAUGAGGAAUCAUUAAGAUCCGUCGGAGAUGACGACGUUGAUAGGCUCCAGGUGUACGCACCGCAAGGUGUUCAGCCGAGGAGUACUAAUUGAUCGAUGUUUCUUUCUCU